AUUGAACGCUGGCGGCAUGCCUUACACAUGCAAGUCGAACGGUAACGGGCCUUCGGGUGCCGACGAGUGGCGAACGGGCGAGUAAUACAUCGGAACGUGCCCGAUCGUGGGGGAUAACGAGGCGAAAGCUUUGCUAAUACCGCAUACGAUCUACGUAUGAAAGCAGGGGACCGCAAGGCCUUGCGCGGACGGAGCGGCCGAUGGCAGAUUAGGUAGUUGGUGGGAUAAAAGCUUACCAAGCCGACGAUCUGUAGCUGGUCUGAGAGGAUGAUCAGCCACACUGGGACUGAGACACGGCCCAGACUCCUACGGGAGGCAGCAGUGGGGAAUUUUGGACAAUGGGCGCAAGCCUGAUCCAGCCAUGCCGCGUGCAGGAUGAAGGCCUUCGGGUUGUAAACUGCUUUUGUACGGAACGAAAAGCCUUCUUUUAAUACAGGAGGGUCAUGACGGUACCGUAAGAAUAAGCACCGGCUAACUACGUG
rnacentral:rRNA from 1 species